GGCUUUGUGCAGUGGCAGUAUUGUGGCCAAUGAGGUUAAUCCAAGGCACAAUUAUUGCUAAUUGU
rnacentral:snRNA from 1 species